AAAAGAAAAAAAAAAUCCAAUCUUAAAAGAAAAUCUACAUCAUAAUUAUGAUUUCGUACCUGCUACAAUUACAAAUAUGACAAACUAUCAUUAUUAAUGAGAAACAUAUACAUGUUUGAACAUUGAAGACAAAAAAUUAAUACUCAUAUUUCUUUCUCAAAUAGUAACUAAUAGCGUAGAAAAUUUAACAAAUGCACACAGUAUUUAAUAAUUUAUGAAAUUAUAAAAAGUAUAAUACUUUAAAUGCGGAUGCUUGUGCCACCUGCCCUUAAUAACUAAGGGUCAUGGAUGGGAAUAGCCAAACCUUCCCAGCCUAGCCCAUUCCUACUUCUCAUUCAAGCUUUCAAUAUGUUGAGAUACGUGGGUCACAUUCAGGCUAAUGAUUUUGAAUACAUUUAAAAACAGGAAACGUUCAAAUUUACAUAUUUAGGUCCA
rnacentral:misc_RNA from 1 species